UACGAAGGGGGCGAGCGUUAUUCGGAAUCACUGGGCGUAAAGCGUGCGUAGGCUGUUUUGUAAGUCAGAAGUGAAAGCCCAGGGCUUAACCCUGGAAUUGCUUUUGAAACUACAAGACUCGAAUUCGGGAGAGGAUAGCGGAAUUGUCAGUGUAGCAGUGAAAUGCGUAGAUAUUGACAGGAACACCAGUGGCGCAAGCGGCUAUCUGGACCGAUAUUGACGCUGAGGCACGAAAGCGUGGGGAGCAAACAGGAUUAGAUACCCUGGUAGUCCACGCCGUAAACGAUGUGAGUUUGUCGCUGGGAAGCUUAGCUUCUCGGUGACGUAGUUAACGCGUUAAACUCACCGCCUGGGAAGUACGGCCGCAAGGUUAAA
rnacentral:rRNA from 1 species